rnacentral:rRNA from 1 species
AUGAACGCUGGCGGCGUGCCUAAUACAUGCAAGUCGAGCGAACGGACGAGAAGCUUGCUUUUCUGAUGUUAGCGGCGGACGGGUGAGUAACACGUGGAUAACCUACCUAUAAGACUGGGAUAACUUCGGGAAACCGGAGCUAAUACCGGAUAAUAUUUUGAACCGCAUGGUUCAAAAGUGAAAGACGGUCUUGCUGUCACUUAUAGAUGGAUCCGCGCUGCAUUAGCUAGUUGGUAAGGUAACGGCUCACCAAGGCAACGAUGCAUAGCCGACCUGAGAGGGUGAUCGGCCACACUGGAACUGAGACACGGUCCAGACUCCUACGGGAGGCAGCAGUAGGGAAUCUUCCGCAAUGGGCGAAAGCCUGACGGAGCAACGCCGCGUGAGUGAUGAAGGUCUUCGGAUCGUAAAACUCUGUUAUUAGGGAAGAACAUAUGUGUAAGUAACUGUGCACAUCUUGACGGUACCUAAUCAGAAAGCCACGGCUAACUACGUG